UACAGAGGUCUCAAGCGUUGUUCGGAAUCAUUGGGCGUAAAGCGCACGUAGGCGGUUCGUUAUGUCGGAUGUGAAAGCCCUUGGCUUAACCGAGGAAGUGCAUCCGAAACUGGCGAGCUAGAGUACUAAAGAGGAUCGCGGAAUUCCCGGUGUAGAGGUGAAAUUCGUAGAUAUCGGGAGGAACACCGGUGGCGAAGGCGGCGAUCUGGGUGGAUACUGACGCUGAGGUGCGAAAGCGUGGGGAGCAAACAGG
rnacentral:rRNA from 1 species